GCAGAGACAGAGGUGACGGAGGGAAGGAAGGAAAAGCAGAGACAGAGGUGAUGGAGGGAAGGAAGGAAAAGCAGAGACAGAGGUGAUGGAGGGAAGGAAAAGCAGAGACAGAGGUGACGGAGGGAAGGAAAAGCAGAGACAGAGGUGACGGAGGGAAGGAAAAGCAGAGACAGAGGUGACGGAGGGAAGGAAAAGCAGAGACAGAGGUGACGGAGGGAAGGAAAAGCAGAGACAGAGGUGACGGAGGGAAGGAAAAGCAGAGACAGAGGUGACGGAGGGAAGGAAAAGCAGAGACAGAGGUGACGGAGGGAAGGAAAAGCAGAGACAGAGGUGACGGAGGGAAGGAAAAGCAGAGACAGAGGUGACGGAGGGAAGGAAAAGCAGAGACAGAGGUGAUGGAGGGAAGGAAGGAAAAGCAGAGACAGAGGUGAUGGAGGGAAGGAAGGAAAAGCAGAGACAGAGGUGAUGGAGGGAAGGAAGGAAAAGCAGAGACAGAGGUGAUGGAGGGAAGGAAGGAAAAGCAGAGACAGAGGUGAUGGAGGGAAGGAAGGAAAAGCAGAGACAGAGGUGAUGGAGGGAAGGAAGGAAAAGCAGAGACAGAGGUGAUGGAGGGAAGGAAAAGCAGAGACAGAGGUGAGGGAAGGAAGGAAAAGCAGAGACAGAGGUGAUGGAGGGAAGGAAGGAAAAGCAGAGGCAGAGUUGAUGGAGGGUAGGAAGGAAAAGCAGAGACAGAAGUGAUGGAGGGUAGGAAGGAAAAGCAGAGAGAGGUGACGGAGGGAAGGAAGGAAAAGCAGAGACAGAGGUGACGGAGGGAAGGAAGGAAAAGCAGAGACAGAGGUGACGGAGGGAAGGAAGGAAAAGCAGAGACAGAGGUGACGGAGGGAAGGAAGGAAAAGCAGAGACAGAGGUGACGGAGGGAAGGAAGGAAAAGCAGAGACAGAGGUGAUGGAGGGAAGGAAGGAAAAGCAGAGACAGAGGUGAUGGAGGGAAGGAAGGAAAAGCAGAGA